ensembl:lncRNA
GUCCUAUCAGUGAUACAUAUCCUAGAGAGGAGGCUUGAAUUGACAUCCCUGUAGCCUCCAGAUUGUUAAUUUUAACAAUAUGAGUAAACUAGACAGAAUUUCCAUGUUCAAUGUGUUUGGGGCAUGCCAGAGAGGGGAUGAUGCAAAGGGGGCAUGCAGAAACAGCCAAUGAGGGUUGUUUCAUUGCUGAGGUAACCAGGCUACCCUGGAGAAAGGAACAGACUUGAUUCAUACGUGCAUCCUGAUGAUGCUGGUGGCACUUCCUUCAAGUUCAAGAUCUGGACUCAGUUUGAUUGGCUUCCAGUGGAUAAAUUCCCACCCCCAGAGGAAAGAUGGAAAUUUUGGAGAAGAAUGAUUGAUUAUUGCCUGAGAGAUCUGGACUGCGUAAAUGAAUUAAAGAUGCAGUUCUGCAAUCUCUUUCCAUUUCCUUUAGCAGACAUGACAGGGAAGAUUCCUGGGAGAUCUGAAUGAAUCCUCUUGCUGUAUGCCCUAGAUCUUGCUGCCUAGGAGAUGUACAACUGGCAUAUCAAAUAGGUGGAGAGUACCUGAACUGUGUCUAAAAAUAGGAACUCUGUGAAAUUCAAAGGGAGAAACUUGAAAUAGUCUGAAUAACAAACAGAUUUUCAUAUCAAUUUUACUUAAGAAGAAGAGUUAAGAAUAUCCUGAGUCCCUUUUCAUCUUGACUACAGUAAACCGAGGAAGCAAUCAUGGACAACAGAAGAGGAAAGGUAUCACAGAACACUUUUCAAAAACAUGAUAUGAUUUUGAGAUCAUUUAAUCAAAAUUAUUCAGAAGUAAUGCUUUUUCCAGCAUUAAAUCAGAAUGUUUUCCUGCUAAAAAUGGUUAUGCUACUGAUUUCACGUCUGCUAUGCCAACAUGGAUAGGUAGCAUUGCUGCUGCCUGUAUGCUGUGGUCAUCUAUUCUCCCUGAGGCCUCUCUUCACUCUUACUGGCUGAGUGAAUGAGUAACUGAUGGAUCUGUGUCUCUGGAUCACAGCCAGCACCCUGGUCAACCCUCCUAACUCGUCUACUUCAGUCAUUUAACAGAAAGGCCGUAACCACAGUGCAACUGGGAUGUGGCUGCAGGUCUUGUUUUGAUUGUCUUUGAGCACAGAAUGUCCUGCUGUGCAUGCUUUUGUUCUCCUUCAUGUAUCCUCCAACAGUAUCCAGCUAAUUAAUUGCACAGUAGGCUGUGAUGCCCCUAGUGCUUCACAUAAUGAGUAGGGCUGCUUUUCUUUGACCAGUAAUAUCAUUUAGAAAUUUAUAUUUCAAGAUUGACAAGAUGCUUUUGGUAAGUUCUGUAUGCUUGUUUUAGGAAAAAAAAAAAAAAAAAAAAAAAAAAAGUGCCAUUGAAAUAGAAAAGCUAAAAGAAGAAUCUUGAAGCUUACCAAGUCAGCAGUUCUGGUUGAAAAAUACAUUCUGAAUGAGCUUUAAUUCUAACUGCCUUUUAAAGCCUCUUUAGACAAAGACAGUCAAUGAAACCCUACGUGAGCUGUCAUCUGGGAAACUCAAAAGCAUAAUAAAUAAUGAUUUGAAUGGGAAUGAAAUUCCUUACACCCAAUAGAAGAAAUAUUGAAAUCUGCGAGGACUCUAGGGAAGGCAGUUCCAUUUUUAUCUGCAGAAAGUUCUGUCUUCUACAGAGACAUGUGGCACCUCAUGUCUGGAACUCUGGGAGCUCUACCCUCACUCUGGAGAGGCAAAAACAUCAUGCCAAGCAGGCUUUGUUUCCAGCUCAUUUUCAGAAUAGAGCAGUAUGCAAUCUUGUCAUUGUCAGGGAGUGGUCUCCAGGCACUGAUCAUGGCAGCAGGUGAAACAUAAAACAAAACUACUUCUGGCCCUUGUGACCUAUUUUGUUAUUGUUUUGCUACAUAGAUGCUAUCUACAACAAUGGAAAUCUAACAAGGUUGAACGUUCUGAGAAAAGUGUAAUUAUCUUUAUAAAUAUUGCAAUAUGCCUAUAAGACAGUGUUUUUAUUACACAGCAUUAAUUUUAAAAGUAAUCAAAUCUCCCAGGAGUGCAAUGUCCUGUGAAGUAUCAUAAGACCAACAGAAAACUUAACACAUCCAUUUUAUCUUUACUGUUUUCUCUGUUAUGCCCAUACAUUAUAAAAUGCAACAAAGCAUGUAAGAGAUCUGGCAGUCUCACAUCUAUCCAUACUGAGGUACAAUGCAGGGAAUCAAGAAUGGAGAAGCUGCCUGAUUUCUAAACCAUAUUGCUUUUAUAGACUUUUACAUAAAUCCUUUUUUCUUCUGACUCCGUAUUUACCAACUCAAGGGUCUAUCUCAUUGUUCCACUCUUGCACUAACAUUCCACAGCAAUUCACAGCAAACUAAUAAAAUAUGGCAAAAAAGCUUGUUAGAUAUUGUAUGUGAAACAUAGUUCGGUCCUAAACACUCUCCUGAAAGAACCUCAUUCCUCUCAAGCAAAUAUCAAUGUGAGUAACGUUAUCUGCAGCAAAACAAAGCAACCAACUUCUUCAAAAUGAUGGUAAGUAAAUGACAUAGCACAAAUACCAUUCUAUGGGAAAGCAAGAUUUUUCAUACAAAGUGCAUAUAGAGCCACCUCCG